rnacentral:snRNA from 2 species
AACAUAUGUCCCUUCUCCGAUAAAAUUGGAAUGGUACAGAGAAGAUUAGCAUGAUGACAUGCACAAAUCGAGAAAUAGUUCAAAUUUUU